GCGCCCGUAGCUCAGUUGGAUAGAGCACCUGCCUUCUAAGCAGGUUGUCGCUGGUUCGAUUCCAGUCGGGCGCG
rnacentral:tRNA from 1 species